rfam:Aspergillus terreus NIH2624 scaffold_10 genomic scaffold, whole genome shotgun sequence.
GGUCCUGUAGCUCAGUUGGUUAGAGCGUGGUGCUAAUAACGCCAAGGUCGCGAGUUCGACCCUCGUCGGGACCA